GUGUCAGCCGCCGCGGUAAUACGGAGGGUGCAAGCGUUAUCCGGAAUCAUUGGGUUUAAAGGGUCCGCAGGCGGAAAGAUAAGUCAGUGGUGAAAUCUCACAGCUCAACUGUGAAACUGCCAUUGAUACUGUUUUUCUUGAAUUCGGUCGAAGUGGGCGGAAUGUGACAUGUAGCGGUGAAAUGCUUAGAUAUGUCACAGAACACCGAUAGCGAAGGCAGCUCACUAGGCCUGGAUUGACGCUCAUGGACGAAAGCGUGGGGAGCAAACAGGAUUAGAUACCCUGGUAGUCC
rnacentral:rRNA from 1 species